rnacentral:rRNA from 1 species
GAUGAACGCUGGCGGCGUGCCUAAUACAUGCAAGUCGAACGCUGGAAAUCUAGCUUGCUAGAUUGAAGGAGUGGCGAACGGGUGAGUAAUACAUAAGCAACCUACCCACGAAGACUGGGAUAAUCUCUGGAAACGGGGACUAAUACCGGAUAGGUAAUCGGAAGGCAUCUUCUGAUUAUUAAAGUUUAAAAACACUGGUGGAUGGGCUUAUGGCGCAUGAGUUAGUUGGUGAGGUAACGGCCCACCGAGACGAUGAUGCGUAGCCGGCCUGAGAGGGUGAACGGCGACAUUGGGACUGGGACACGGCCAAGGGUACUACGGGACGCAGCAGUAGGGAAGGUUCGGCAGUGGGGGAAACCCUGACGGAGCGACGCCGCGUGAGUGAUGGCGGCCUUCGGGUUGUAAAGCUCUGUUGUAGAGGAAGAACGGUAGAUAGAGAAUAUGUAAAUGACGGUACCUUGCCAAGAAGCCACGGCUAACUACGUG